rnacentral:rRNA from 1 species
UACGGAGGAUCCGAGCGUUAUCCGGAUUUAUUGGGUUUAAAGGGUGCGCAGGCGGGAGAUUAAGUCGGUGGUGAAAUUUUGCAGCUCAACUGUAAAAGUGCCAUUGAUACUGGUUUUCUUGAGUGUGGAUGAAGUAGGCGGAAUUUGUGGUGUAGCGGUGAAAUGCAUAGAUAUCACGAGGAACUCCGAUUGCGCAGGCAGCUUACUAAACCAUAACUGACGCUUAGGCACGAAGGCGUGGGGAGUCAAACAGGAUUAGAUACCCU